AGUCAAUAUUCAUUUACUCCAUGCACUAUGGGCAAAGAAUCCUCUCCUGACUCCUGUAACAGAUGACUGCAACAACUUCUAGUGCUAUUGUGAAGGCAGACCUCUCUUUUAUAAGCUGAACACUCCAGUCGUCUUCCCACUCAUUACAUCCUACAUGUUGUCAAUCUUCGUUUCAAGAACUGUCAAUCAGAAAUGCAGUGGAUGAUAUAUGCAGUAUUUUUUAACAACACUAAGUUCUAUUAGUAUAAAUGAUCAAGAUGACAGAAGAAGGAGAAGGAGAAGGAGAAGGAGAAGGAGAAGGAGAAGGAGAAGGAGAAGGAGAAGGAGAAGGAGAAGGAGAAGGAGAAGGAGAAGGAGAAGGAGAAGGAGAAGGAGGAGAAAAAAGAGGAAAGGGUGGCACAGGACUGGAAAUAAAGACAGUAUUAAAUGUG